rnacentral:rRNA from 1 species
CCUACGGGGAGCAGCAGUGAGGCAUAUUGGUCAAUGGUCGGGAGACUGAACCAGCCAAGCCGCGUGAGGGAGGAAGGUACAGAGUAUCGUAAACCUCUUUUGUCAGGGAACAAAGACUGGGACGCGUCCCCGGAUGAGGGUACCUGAAGCAAAAGCAUCGGCUAACUCCGUGCCAGCAGCCGCGGUAAUCCGGAGGAUGCGCGCGUUAUCCGGUUUUGUUGGGUUUAAAGGGUGCGCAGGCGGUCUGUUAAGUCAGCGGUCAAAGCCCGGGGCUCAACCCCGGCCCGCCGUUGAAACUGGCAGUCUCGAGUUGGAGAGAAGUAUGCGGAAUGCGCGGUGUAGCGGUGAAAUGCAUAGAUAUCGCGCAGAACUCCGAUUGCGAAGGCAGCAUGCCGGCUCCACACUGACGCUGAGGCACGAAAGCGUGGGUAUCGAACAGGAUUAGAUACCCGAGUAGUC